rnacentral:rRNA from 1 species
AUUGAACGCUGGCGGCAGGCCUAACACAUGCAAGUCGAACGAGAGGCGGACGGGUGAGUAAUGUAUGGGAAUCUGCCUGAUGGCGGGGGCUAACUACGGGAAACGGUUGCUAAUACCGCAUACUAUCCACUGUGCCCAGAUGGGAUUAGCUAGUUGGUGGGGUAACGGCUCACCAAGGCGACGAUCCCUAGCUGGUCUGAGAGGAUGACCAGCCACACUGGAACUGAGACACGGUCCAGACUCCUACGGGAGGCAGCAGUGGGGAAUAUUGCACAAUGGGCGAAAGCCUGAUGCAGCCAUGCCGCGUGUAUGAAGAAGGCCUUCGGGUUGUAAAGUACUUUCAGCGGGGAGGCGUUACCCGCAGAAGAAGCACCGGCUAACUCCGUGCCAGCAGCCGCGGUAAUUC